rnacentral:tRNA from 1 species
GAUGAGGUGGCCGAGUGUUAAGGCGAUGGACUGCUAAUCCAUUGUGCCCUGCAUUCAUGUGUUUGAAUCCCAUCCUCAUCG